rnacentral:rRNA from 1 species
GAUGAACGCUGGCGGCGUGCCUAAUACAUGCAAGUCGAGCGAACGGACGAGAAGCUUGCUUCUCUGACGUUAGCGGCGGACGGGUGAGUAACACGUGGAUAACCUACCUAUAAGACUGGGAUAACUUCGGGAAACCGGAGCUAAUACCGGAUAAUAUUUUGAACCGCAUGGUUCAAUAGUGAAAGACGGUCUUGCUGUCACUUAUAGAUGGAUCCGCGCUGCAUUAGCUAGUUGGUAAGGUAACGGCUUACCAAGGCAACUAUGCAUAACCGACCUGCGAGGGUGAUCGGCCACACUGGAACGGGGACACGGUCCAUACUCCUACGGGAGGCAGCAGUAGGGAAUCUUCCGCAAUGGGCGAAAGCCUGACGGAGCAACGCCGCGUGAGUGAUGAAGGUCUUCGGAUCGUAAAACUCUGUUAUUAGGGAAGAACAUAUGUGUAAGUAACUGUGCACAUCGUGACGGUACCUAAUCAGAAAGCCACGGCUAACUACGUG